GAUGAACGCUGGCGGCGUGCCUAAUACAUGCAAGUCGAGCGAACAGACGAGGAGCUUGCUCCUCUGACGUUAGCGGCGGACGGGUGAGUAACACGUGGAUAACCUACCUAUAAGACUGGGAUAACUUCGGAAAACCGGAGCUAAUACCGGAUAAUAUAUUGAACCGCAUGGUUCAAUAGUGAAAGACGGUUUUGCUGUCACUUAUAGAUGGAUCCGCGCCGCAUUAGCUAAUUGGUAAGGUAACGGCUUACCAAGGCAACGAUGCGUAGCCGACCUGAGAGGGUGAUCGGCCACACUGGAACUGAGACACGGUCCAGACUCCUACGGGAGGCAGCAGUAGGGAAUCUUCCGCAAUGGGCGAAAGCCUGACGGAGCAACGCCGCGUGAGUGAUGAAGGUCUUCGGAUCGUAAAACUCUGUUAUUAGGGAAGAACAAAUGUGUAAGUAACUAUGCACGUCUUGACGGUACCUAAUCAGAAAGCCACGGCUAACUACGUG
rnacentral:rRNA from 1 species